AACGAACGCUGGCGGCAGGCUUAACACAUGCAAGUCGAACGCAUGCCUUCGGGCAUGAGUGGCAGACGGGUGAGUAACGCGUGGGAACCUACCCCUUGGUACGGGAUAGCUCCGGGAAACUGGAGAUAAUACCGUAUGUGUCCUGAGGGACAAAGAUUCAUCGCCAAGGGAUGGGCCCGCGUCGGAUUUGCUAGUUGGUGGGGUAACGGCCUACCAAGGCGACGAUCCGUAGCUGGUCUAAGAGGAUGAUCAGCCACAUUGGGACUGAGACACGGCCCAAACUCCUACGGGAGGCAGCAGUGGGGAAUAUUGGACAAUGGGCGCAAGCCUGAUCCAGCCAUGCCGCGUGAGUGAUGAAGGCCCUAGGGUUGUAAAGCUCUUUCACCGGUGACGAUAAUGACGGUAACCGGAGAAGAAGCCCCGGCUAACUUCGUG
rnacentral:rRNA from 1 species